UUUGAUCAUGGWUCARAUUGAACGCUGGCGGCAUGCCUUACACAUGCAAGUCGAACGGCAGCACGGGAGCAAUCCUGGUGGCGAGUGGCGAACGGGUGAGUAAUAUAUCGGAACGUGCCCAGUCGUGGGGGAUAACGUAACGAAAGCUACGCUAAUACCGCAUACGAUCUAUGGAUGAAAGCGGGGGAUCGCAAGACCUCGCGCGAUUAGAGCGGCCGAUAUCAGAUUAGGUAGUUGGUGGGGUAAAAGCCUACCAAGCCUUCGAUCUGUAGCUGGUCUGAGAGGACGACCAGCCACACUGGAACUGAGACACGGUCCAGACUCCUACGGGAGGCAGCAGUGGGGAAUUUUGGACAAUGGGCGCAAGCCUGAUCCAGCAAUGCCGCGUGCAGGAUGAAGGCCUUCGGGUUGUAAACUGCUUUUGUACGGAACGAAACGGUCCUCUUUAAUACAGGGGGCUAAUGACGGUACCGUAAGAAUAAGCACCGGCUAACUACGUGCCAGCAGCCGCGGUAAUACGUAGGGUGCGAGCGUUAAUCGGAAUUACUGGGCGUAAAGCGUGCGCAGGCGGUUAUGUAAGACAGAUGUGAAAUCCCCGGGCUCAACCUGGGACCUGCAUUUGUGACUGCAUAGCUAGAGUACGGUAGAGGGGGAUGGAAUUCCGCGUGUAGCAGUGAAAUGCGUAGAUAUGCGGAGGAACACCGAUGGCGAAGGCAAUCCCCUGGACCUGUACUGACGCUCAUGCACGAAAGCGUGGGGAGCAAACAGGAUUAGAUACCCUGGUAGUCCACGCCCUAAACGAUGUCAACUGGUUGUUGGGUCUUCACUGACUCAGUAACGAAGCUAACGCGUGAAGUUGACCGCCUGGGGAGUACGGCCGCAAGGUUGAACUCAAAGGAAUUGACGGGGACCCGCACAUGCGGUGGGGCAUGUGGUUUAAU
rnacentral:rRNA from 1 species